rnacentral:lncRNA from 1 species
AAACAGAUGCUUAAACUUGGGUGUUAAGACACCUCCUUACAUGCAACCUGUUAAAGCAGGUGAUCUCUAUACACUCAUUAGCCAGGAAUCAAUGGCUCCAGCUCCGGCUCCGGCUUCACUCCCUCUCUUGACUAAAUCUGAAGUGUUAGAGCCACCUUUGCCCGAUGUUGCUACAAGAUCAUCAGCACCUUCGCCACUAGAUCAGCCUGUACCCAAAAAUGCACAGCCUAAGGUUACUACUGUCUGCUUCUUAUCCAAUGUAGCUGUGUUUGUAGCUUCUUUUCUUUUGCUUUGAGUGCUAGAGAGAAUACAAUAGUAGAUAACAUUUUUAAUUAUAGAACAGUUUAAGGAUUCUUAAAAAUGAGAGUAAAAUUAUGAGUGAUGUAAGUGUGUGAAGGCUUCACUCUAAGAUCUUGCCUUUAUUACCAACUUAAAAUUUUAUUUCUUGGAAUUAGUGUGUAUUAGUACCAAUUGUUUGCAAAACAAGUCAAAAUGUUUGUUAAAUUGAUGAAGAUGAUUAUUUACAAUUUAUUUUUGGUUAGUAGUGUGGUUAUAGAUAAAAGUGGUGGAGAUUGUUUAAAGAAUUGUGGAGGUUGCAUGUGAUCAAUGAUAACGAUUGGUGAAGAAAAAAACAAACAAAUGCUGCAGUUUGGACCACCGAAAAAUGACAAAGAUUUAAUGAUUUUGCUAAAACUCAAUUGGAUGAAAGCAUGUUGAUCGGCUUUAUCUACACGACCUUGACCAUAAAUAAGUAUUAAUGUCUAAGUGGUUGAAAUAAAGAGGAACUUUACUGAAUUUAAAACAAAAACAAAAAAACAAAAAAUCUAUUUGUCAUGCAAAAUAUUUGUGGUCACCCGUCAUAAUAACUUUUCAGUUGGUAGGGGUGUUCAUAUUCACAUCAUAAUCAAUAUAAUGAAUUCGAUUUAGAAACAUUUUUUAAAACCGAUGUAAUAAAAACAUGACUGGUUUCAUAAUCAGUUUUUAAACAGAUACCUAGAUUGUUUAAAAUUUCUAGUACAUUUAAUUAGUAAAUUGUUAAAGUGAAAAUAAACCGGUUAAAAAUUAUUUGAUUAAAUUUGUUCUAUUUAAAAGUUUAACUAUAAAACUAGAGACACGUUCGAUUGUAUAAAAAAUAUUUAUAGAAAGUAGAAAAUAUUAUGAAAUUCAAUUGGUAUAAAUUAAAAAAUAAUUUUGAUUUAGUAAUCUAGAUAUUUAUGGUUAGAAAUUAAUUAUUAUCGGUGUAAAAAGUUUUACACUAUUUACAUUAUUUUAUAGAUGGUUAAAAUAAGCGUCAAACUUCUCAUAACAUACAACAUUUAUAAUUAAUUGACGGUAUAAAAUCUUUGUAUAAAUUUUUUUAUACCACUUGUAUAUUUCAAUUAAAUUCUUUUUGUUAAAAAUUUAACAUAAUAAAAGUUAUAUUUAAAAAUGAUUUUUUUAUUAAAUCAUUACUAAAAGCUGGAACACGUUUAUAAAAUUAAUUAAAAUUAUAUUUUUAUCAAAUCUUAUUUAAAUCAAUUUUUUACUUAAAAUAUCUUUUAAAUUUUUUAUCACAUAUAAGUAAGAGACGAAGUUGUUGCAUCAUCCAAAUUAAAUUUUAAAAUAUUUUUAUAUUAAAUUUGUCUAUUACCUGUGACAAAAAAAGCAAUGAAACAUCUAUUAAUAAUUUGUUUUAAAUGUAAUUAUAAAGACCACGUUUAUAUCAGAAGUUAUUGAUUAGAAAUUGCAAUUUAAAAUCAAUUUACAUCAAAGUUGUAAUGUUAAAAUGAAAUGAGCCAUUAAAAAUUUGGUUAUGGAUAACUUUUUUUAAACAAGUUUAAAACCAAAUUAAUUUUUCAAAUUUUAAAUGGAUGCAAUAAUAACCACAUAUUACAUAUUCUGAUUUUUUCAAUAUGGUUUGGAUAUGAUUAUGGAUUGGUUUCUCAAAACUGGAUAUUUUGCACAACCCUAGCUAGGGUUAGGUGGUUGGCAAAUUCAUCUCAUUUCUGUUAUUUGAUAUUUGUCUAUUUCAAUAUUUUAAAAAUCGGAUUAGAGAUCAAAUUGGUGAAACUUCCGAUUUAAAGUUUAAUUGAUUCAACUAGUUAAACCUAUGGCCGUUCCAUUUAUUAAAUAAACUAAUAAUAUGAAACUAAGUUUCAUAAAUAUAUCACAGAUAAUUAUGUAUUCAUAAUUUAAUAAAAUAAAUAUUUCAAAAAUUCAUUACAAACUUAAUAGAACAAUAUUGAUAAUGCAUAUAAUAACAUAAUAUAGUAGUACACUUCAUUUCAACCUUCAUUUAAGAAUAAUUCGUAUAAAUUAAAAAAUUACAAUAAAAUAAGUUAAAGUAAUUUAAACCAAAAUUAAAAUAAUAAAACAUAAUAACUAAAAUAAAAUUCAAAAAAUUAAGAAUACCUAAAUUAAAUAAGAUGGAAAAUAAAAAAUAAACAAUAUGAUGUACUUAAUUAAACAACAAUAAUCGAAUUCGAAUUGAACUACGACAAACAAGUCAUAAUUUACAACAACAAAUAAUAUUGAUUUGAACGACAAACACUAUUGAGUUGAACCGUAUGACUAAGUUUGAAAGAGACGACGUGAUGAUAAUGAAGUGUGGUUGAAAGAAAAGUUAUAACAGAGUGACAAAACUUAGAAAUUUGUAUGGUUGUAAAAAAAUACGAUUUUUUCUUUGUGAUUGAGAAUGUAUGUUAAAUUUUGAUAUUCACAUAUUAAAUUUUUUUAAAUUUUAAAAAAAAGGCCAAUUUGAUGUUUUUUUUAAUCAGACGUUUUACAAAAUCGACUCGAGUUCUUUGGUUUGAAUGAUUUUGGACGAUUCAAUCCAGUUUUUCCGAUUUUAUUCCGAUUUUGAUUCACUAACGAUUUUGAAAUAUUAACUCAACCGGAUUCAUCUCUGAUUCCCGAUCCAACCGAUUGAACCAGUCGGUUCGAUUCGGUUUUUAAACUGUUUAUCUAUUAAUUGUUUUAUAAAAACUAUUAUGAGUGAAAGAAAAAAAGUAGUAGUAAUUUCUACAAAUUAAUUUUAUUUAUUAUUAAUUUAUUCACUAUCAUCUUAAAUUCAAAAUCAGAGAAUUUAUUUAGCCUCCACAAUAUAAAACUUCUUUGUCCGUCCAUGUUGAUGGGGUUAAGAUCAUAUAUAAGUAAGUCGUUUUUGUAGUGAAUUAGAUUAGGCUACUUUCUUUUUAAGAAAACAUGAAUUCCUAAAGUGGUGUAUAGUUCAUUGUUUUGAUCAAUAGUUAAUAAAUAGUCAGAGCAGCAUGAUAACAUUGAUUAACAAUAUAUAACAAAUCAAGUGUGAAGUGGUCAUGUGGUUUGAGAAUUUUUAUUUACAUUGUUAUAUAAUAUAGGGAAAGAUUGAAUAAUCUUUUGAGAAAAACAUGGUUGAACAUUCAAUUAUGAUUGAUGAAAGAAUCAUGACUUCUUACUCAACUGAGCCUUCUAUUCUUUCAUGGAGAAAGAUUUGAAAACCAAAAAGAUGAGCUAUAUAGUUUCUUCAUCUUCCAUUAUUUAUAACUAUAGUUAAGUGAAGAAAGGUUAUGAAUAUCUUAAAAUAUAAAAGACGACUAUGUUGAUCCUUUUUCUAUGGAUGAUACUAAACAGAAGGCUUACAUGCUACAUCAUAAAAUCAUAAGCUUUCUUGUAAAUGCAAUCCUUUAAGGAAUAUGAUAAGGAUAUCAAUAUUAAAUCAACAAAAUAUUAUUUAUGAUUUGUCGUGUCUUAACUAUAAAGGAAACUGUCAUAUUUCAAAAUUUGCCUUCCCCUUUUCAUCCUUUCACUCAAUCAUUGACUUAAGAUCCAUCUAUGCUCAUUCAUAUCUCAUUCAUGUGCAUCAUUCAUUCAUGAUUAACACUUGCUAACAAACAUCAUAGAUUCAAGGUUUGUGGUUAACAAAAAUCAAGAUUUUGACUUGAAGAUUGUGAUAUUGUUCAUCAUGUGGGGUGAAACCCUAGUUUCUUGAUCCUUUGAGACCUUGACUCAUGAAGCCUACACCUUGACAUUCAUACGUGCAUCCUAACUCUAGUUCUUGACUAUGAUCUUAUGGGAUCUUGUUGCUUGACCUUCGGUGCAAUUGUUUUGACUUUUAAACCCUAAUGGUAGGCUCUUGGUUUGAGCCCUUGGUUUGAGAUUUGUGCUUAUGGAACUUUGUGUUUGGGUUGAAACCCUAGUCAUUGAUCUUGAGGUUGGUAAACUGUAUGGCUUGCUUUGAGGAGGGUUGGAAACCCUAGUUGUGGUCAUAACAUUGAUGUAGUGCUUAUGUUGAUUACUUGGAUCUGAAUUGUGACUACUAAACCCUUGGCUAAUUAUAGCUGCAAAUCUUGAUAAAUUCUCUUUUGAAUGCAUCUAUCGCACUUACUUGGUUGAGUUAUUAAUGUUGAGGAAUCAGAGCCUCCCUAAAUAGCCUCUACAAACUCCCAAUUUGUGCAGUGUCAACAUUUUCAUAUCAUGAUCAUUCAUAUAUCAUGCAUAGAUUGAAGUUUACUUUGAAUUCAUUUAUGUUGACCCAAGUCUUGUCGUCAAUUAUUAUCCCUUGACUCAAAACACUAGUUGUUAUUGGCACGUCUCUAAGUCUAGUUGUCACUAGCACUUUGUCCUAAGUCCAAUUGUCAUUGACAUCUUUUGAAGUAUAGUUUUCACUGGUGUUACCUAAGAUUCAAUUAUUAUUGUUAUUCAUCAUCUUCAAAGACUAUUUGAUACUAAUGUUUGCUUUUAAAGCCCAACUAUCAUUAGUGUCUUCAAAAUAUAGUCGUUACUGGCGUUAUCUUCAAAAUCCAAUUCUUAUCAUUGUCUUUUUAAAAUCCAAUUGUUAUUGGUACUCUUAAAAGUCCAAGUUGUUACUAGAUGUCACCUCUUAAAGUUCAGUUGUUGCUGGCACCGGUUGCAAGUCUAUUUGCCCUUAGUACUUACCUAAAGUCCGGUAGCAACUGGCACUCUGCUCUUAAAAUCCAAAUGUUAUCGGCAUGAAGUCCAAUUAUAAUUAUUCAUUCAAUUUUUAAACCCAAUUGUUAUUGGUGUCCUUAAAGUCAGGUUGUCACUGAUGCCACUUAAAAUCCCAUUGGUCUUUAGUGUCUCCUAAAGUUCAGUUGUCACUCACAAUAUUCAAUUGUCACUAGCAUUAUUCUAAGCCUAGCUGUUGCUAUAACUCAUUUUUUAAACCCAAUUGUAAUUGGCAUCACUAUCACUCUGUUUGUAAAUCCAAUUAUAAUCAAGUAUCCAAAGUCGGGUUGUCAGCCGCAUCAUUUAAGUCCAUGUUGUAACUGGCACCAAUUCAUUAGAAGAUGGUUGUAAUCCAUGCCUACAACCAAAUUCCAAUUGUUGUUAGCACGUACAUGGAGUUUAAUUACCUUGUUUUUCCUGAUGGUUUCUAGAAAGUUAUGUAUGGCUCAUCGUUCUAAGGAAUUCCCGGAAGCUUGGAUGUUAUUCGUGUUAGAAAACUCCAAGGUUUUGCGUGGAUGAUCUACUUAUAAGAAGACUCCCGAUAUUUUUUGUCUUGGGUAAAUUCCAUGUUCGAAAUCUCUCCAAAUCUUUGAUUGUAUGAAUAUCUUAUGAUAAAUAUCCAUAAUCUUCUGAUGUAUUCUAAAGUGUCAGGUCAUAUCUGAACUUGUUGAUAAAGCAUACUUUGAAUAUUCCCCAGUGUCUCUUCCCCAUAAAUUUACCAUCCCUUGUGAGUCUUCACCCAUCAUCUUUGCCAUUUUCCUGUGGAUCAACGCUACCGUAUCUCCAUCAUUUCCCACAGGUCUGUGUAGCGUCCGUCAUAAAAUUCAUGCUAGGGUUCAUCGUGUCCCCAACAAACCAAAAAGAAGUCCUUCAGCUCAUAGCAUAACAUGUCAUUGCAUCUAAGGGCAAAAUUAGGGUCUUUUGUAUUUAAAUACCUCUCACAUCUAAUUUCAUGAGGAUUAACAUCACUCAUUCUAUCUGGUGAAGAUAUUUAAAUAGGGGCAACUGUCAUACUCUAAAAUUUUCUCCACCUGACCGUCCACAUUCAUUCAUUGAUGUUCAUCCAUAUACUGUGACUUCGGUCACUUCACUCUGUUCACUUCGCGAUGCAUUCAUAUUCUACCUUCUUUCACUUCAUGUGAUAUACCUAUUCUUCGAGCCAAAUACACUACUUCUUUGUGCUCCUUCUUGCGUCACCUUGUGAACCAAGAGAUGUUUGGGACUGUGCCUAAACACCUAUUUCUUCGUCUUUUUGACUUUAUCUUAUAGUGGUGGCCUGCUAGUCCAUGUAUUGGUAAUAACCACCUUACUCUUGGGUUUAUCUUUUCACCCUUUUUGGAGUUCAAUCAUACUAUUCUUUGGUUCAGACCAUACACUUCGAUCACACUUCUUCCCACCUCCUGCCUCUAGUUCCUUGAACUACGAAGUUCUGAAUUCCUCAUUGCACUAUGAGGAUACGUAGGCAUGAGGGCCCUAAUCCUCAUCGAGCACUCUAUCUAUUUCCUUUCCUUUUCCCAUUCUUUUGCGAGUAAUUUUUAGUUAUAACACCUAUUCGAGCAAGAACAAUCAAAACGGUUCCCAUGGAGUACCAUGGAUGUUUGGGGUGCUAAUACCUUCCCCUUGCAUAACCGACUUCCUUACCCAGUAUAUCUAUUCCCUCCGAGUUUUAUCGAUGUUUUCCUUUCCCUUUGGGGAUAAAUAAAGUUCGAUGGCGACUCUGUUGUAUGUUCGAGUGUGCGAUACGUUCGGGUAUAUUUUCGCUAGCUUCAAUCUCCAUAUGGGAUGUAUUCUCUUUUAAAUCGAUCAUGUAGUCAAAUUAACUGAACAUUACCCUGCCCUGGGUCAAGCGUAAAGGUUUAUAGAUCCGAAAGAAACACUUACUUCUAGGCUCAAAGUAGUAAACUAGGGAUUAACUCCUUAUUUCUCCAGUGUUUUGGGGAUUUGAAACAAUGCUUGUACAUCAUCAGCAGGAUUUUAUCCGAAAGCAUACAAUCAGCAAUUAUGGGUAUUUUGUUAUCGUCAUCCCCCCUCCAAUCUUUUCUAAAACAAUAGUUAUGAUAUAGAAAGUGAAGUGGAAGAAACAUAGAUGUAUUUUUUGUUUUUGAUGUAAGAGAAGAAAAAUGAGUGAAUACGACAUUAUUGAUUUAAAACAUGCAUGAUUACUUCAUUAAUAUUAUCAUUAAAAAAUACAAUGCUUAAACACAUGUAGCAUUUAACAACAAAGAAACUACAAAUGCAAAUGAAAACAAAUCAGUCGAAUGAUUUCCAGUGUUGAGGAUGUCUUUCUGUUUGGACCACCUGUUUUAGGAGAUGCCCCUUGAAGUCUUCGAACUCAUUCGGGCAAGAGGCUGACGUGCCCCACCAGGUUUCCUUAUGGAAAAAGAUAUGUAUAUUUUGUCAAUCAACUGUUGAACCUUAGCUUUGAAAGCGUUGCAGUCUUCAGUUGAGUUCCCUAUUGGUCCGACAUGAUAUCCACAUUGCACAUCGGGAUCAUACCCAGGUGGGUAUGGUUCUGGCAACGGCCUGAGAGACUUAGGAUCCACCAAUAAGCUUUGAAUCAGAUAUGGCAGAAGUUGACUGUAUGACAUAGGAAUUGGAUCGAGGGGAGCAUUCCUUAUUUCCAAAUUGUUUCGAGGCCUAUGCUGAUUCAGAUGUUGAUUUUGGUAUCCUUGACUAUGAUCUCGUUGAUUUACAUAAGGUAUAGUCCAUAGUUGCUGGUAUGAUACUCUAGGAAUUGUUGGUUGUCCAUGAGGAUAGUGUGGUGCUAGAAAUGGUGACUGCUGAAAAGAUGAGGGAUCAUAAAAUCUGGAUGGAAAUGGUCACCAUGAGAAUUCCUAACAUCUACCAUGAUUGCAUUGGUAUCAUCCUCUUCUCCCUUUUGGGAAUUGCCGAGGGAUUCUGUCUCGCUAGCUUGGCUGCUCGACACACCUUGGAUUCUUACACUUUUUAGGGCACCCUCGAUACAUUCUCCAAUGGUCACUAAGUGGGCGAAGUAUGAUAAUAUACUUUCUACCAUCUUUUUGAAGUAUGGGUUAUGUAAGGUAUCCAUAAACAAAUGAACUAAUUCCUUGUCCAAGAGUGUUGGUUGCACUUGGGCUGCCAAUUCUCUCCAUCGUCGUGCAUAUCUUUUGAAGGAUUCAUUGCUCUUUUGAGGUAAGCUUUGCAGCUGCCUUUAGUCUGGAGUUAUGUCCAAGUUGUAAUUGUAUUGCUCAAAAGAGCAUUAGCUAAGUCUUGCCAUGACUGAAUAUGGCUUCUUUUCAACUUCAUAUACCAGCUCAACGAUGCUCCAAUCAAACUAUCUUGAAAACAAUGAAUCAUUAGCUUGUCAUCGUGAGUAUGUGAUGCCAUUUUUUUGGAAGAACAUCACAAAAUGGUGCUUUGGAUAGCUAUCCCCUUUGUACUUCUCAAAAUUGGGUAAUUUAAAUUUUGGAAGGAUCAUUAGGCUUGACACUAAGCAUAUAUCAAGCCUACGAUUGUCAUUCACAUCCAUUGCUCUGACUCUCUCCUCAAGGACAUGAAGUUCUUCAAUACCAGGAUUGGUCAAUGGCAUCAACUGGGAUUGAGUAGGAAUGUUCACUUGUAGAGGAUUAUAGUCAGGCAGAGGGUCAUACAUUGGGUUGGUAAUUACAGUAAAGCCUGAUGAGGAACCAACAUUCUUUGUGACGACAUGCUGAAGAUUGUUCUUCGACUGAGCUAGCGUAGCUUCCAACAUCUGGUUUAUCUUGCCUUUCAUGUUGUUCAUAUCCUAUGAGGAACCAACAUUCUCUAUGACGACAUGCUGAAGAUUGUCUGUUUAUGAAAAGGUUUUCAAUUGCACGGGAGAGAGAAAAGAGUUCGAUUAAAGUUGUGUUAUAGUGAUCACGUGUCUAGAUCGUAUUAUAACGGUAAAACAUGGCUUGCUUACUCGCGACGGAGGCUUAAGUGCAAGUUUGUACACGUUAGAAGGGAUUAGACAAAUGUCCUAUUAUGAAAGGUUUUCAAUCACACGGGGGUGGGAGAAUAAGUUAAAGUUGAUGUGUUGUAUGAUUUUUAGGUGAAUGGGGAAUAUUCAGUAAGGAUAAGAUGUGAGCCUUGGAACCAAUGAAUCAGGGUAUUGUUGGAAUGCUAGACUCCAAAAAUACCUUUUCCAUUAAAUGUAUUCAUAAAAUUGUUUUAUGGACAAUGAACAUUCAAAAGAUUGUUCAAAGGGUCAACCAGAAUGCUAGACUCCAAUGACCCCUCUUUUCGUCCAAGUAAUUAGGUAUUUAAGAAAGGAAAAGAGUGAAUGAAAAGCUAACCCAAGACGUGUGCCUCGAGAGCAAUCAUCAAGGAUUCAAGGAAUGCGAGAUUCCAAGGACCAAUUUCUUUCGUAUUUGUUUAGGAAAAAAGUUUAACGAGUUGAGAAAGCGAAAGAGAAAUUCGAUGUUGAUCAAGUGUUUUAUCGCAUUAGAGAAAAUAGGUUGUGAAAUGGUUUGAAAUAAUAUCAGAUACUUAUUAAAGAAAAAAGCUUAGUGGGAUUUUGAAAAUUGUAUUUGAUGUUGAUCAAAUACCUUUUAUCUUAGUAUUUUUGAAAGUUUAAUUUUAAUGGUCAUUUUGUCUUUUUGGAUUAACAAUUAUGCAUCAACUAAAGAUACAAUAAAAUAAAAUAAAAAAUAAAGGAAUAAAAAAGAUAAAAGGAAUAAUAAAAGGGAGGGGGCACACUAUCAAUGCAAGAGGUAAAAGAAUUAAAAAAAACUAAAGAAAAUAAAAUAAAGAACAAAAAUAAAUUAAUAAAGCAAUAAUAAUAAAAUAAUAAAUAAAAAAUACAUACAAAAGACAAAAAUAUGCUGAAAAUUUGAGGUAUAACUAGGAAAAUGCUUUAGGCUCAAAGAAGGGAUCCUUACAAGGAUGCAUUGAGCAAUUAGGAAGUGUGAGGGAAACUUCAUCUUCUCCAACCCCAUAUUUGGUUACUAUUCCUGUAGCAACAAAAUUGAAAGAAAAUGGGUUCCAACGAAAACGUAAAAACACCAUAACUUUCUCAAAUUUUUAGGGAAUUAAGCAAAUAAAUAAUGAAAAUUUAUCUACUCGAUCUCACGAACAUAAUAAUAUAUUCAAAAUCAGCAAAUAAACAACAAAAAUUUUCUUAAAUAAACAAAAAUGCAGCAAUAUAUAUUUGCUUGAUUUGACCAUUUUAUCCACCCUCAUGUCAAACGAACUAUAGAUUCAUGCUCAGGGUGAUUUUGAGAAGUUAUUGAAUAUAUUAUUUAUAUAAAACAAGCAUCAAUUUUCAUUUGACCCUUUUUGUUCAUGGAGGUUCAAAAACACUUUAAACUCUUGAUUUUGAAAUAAAUUGAGUUUCCAUACAAAAUGAUGUUUAUUAAAGUACUAAAUAAAUAAAGUAAGAGUAAAAAUGCAAUAGAAUUAAAUAAAUAAUAAACAUAAGAGUUAUUUAAACAACAACAAAUCACUUUUGCUUAUGGAGGUUCAAGGACACUUUUCAACUCUUGAUUUAAAAUCAAUUGAGUUUCCAUGCAAAUGGUGAUGAUUAAUGUAUUAAAUAAAUAAAGCAAGAGUAAGAAUACAAUAUAAUUAAAUAAAGAACAAACAUAAGAGUUAUUUAAACAACAACAAAUCACUUUUACUUAUGGAGGUUCAAGAACACUUUUCAAUCUUGAUUUAAAAUCAAUUGAGUUUUCAUGCAAAAUGGUGAUGAUUAAGGUUCUAAAUAUAUAAAGCAAGAAUAAAAAUGUAAUAGAAUUAAAUAAAGAACAAGCAUAAGAGUCUAAUUAUUCAAUAAAAAGAAAGAAAUGACUUGAAAGAAAAUGAAGAGAAAAAUAAAGAGAGUUUUACCUUAGUUUUUGUGAAUGAUUGGUGGUGCAUUUGUGAAUGGAGUGAGCUUUAUGUAUAUGCUAUAGAAAUGAUAGUUUAUGAAUUAUGCAAAAAAUAUGUGUCUUCUAGAAAAUUAUUUAAUUAAAUAGUGAAUAAUGAUGUAAUAUAUGCAUGGAAUAAUAAUUUAAUAUAUGCAUAGAAUAAUGAUGUAAUAAUUUUUUUUUCAAUAUGCAUAGUAAAAAAAUGCAAUUUUUGUCAAUUUCUUCAACAUGUAAAAUAUUGACUUUAUGUUGACUUUUUUUUUACUAUAAUGCAUAUAUGCAUGAUUAUGGUGACAAUAUUUGAUGAUAAAAAUGCAUAUGACUAAAAAAUAUAUAACUUGACAAAUGAACAUGUAUCAUAUAAAUUUGAAAUACCCGGACAAAAUUAGGGUAUGACAACUCCUUUACUUUCUCUUAUGUUGAAAUUUUAUUCUUAAGGGGAAAAACGUUGGACACAGUGUCUGGGACAAUUAUGUGCGACUUGAUCAUAAUAGUUUGACAAUAACUAUGAAAUAAAAUACACACCAAUAAAGAACACAAAAGAUUGUUAACCUAGUUCGAUGGAACGUCACCAACAUCUGGGGAGCUUCCAACCCAAGAAAGAAAAGUCAUUCUUAAUAGAAUUAGUAUAAAUUAUCUUAAAUGAACAACCCUUGUUCAAUGCCCCUCUUCUUAAUUUUACCAGUGUAUUUAUAUUUAGGACUCCCCCUAAAUAUGAGACCCCUCUCACUUUCUCUUAACCACUAACCCUAGUGAUUAAUACAAUAAUCAAAAUAUUGAAUAUUUGAAUUAUAACUCAAGUAUCAAACCAAUCUCUAUGCCUUGAGAUAUAAAUGAAGGCGCUAGAGUGAUGCACAAAUAAAAACAUAAACAAAGGAAUCAAAAUAGAAACCCUAACACAAAUAUUCUUCAAUUCUUGCACACCUUCAAACAUUAUGUUUUAGUAUUCUUAAAUAGCAAUGCAACAUUUGAGUUUUUCUCUAAUGGGCAUAAGAUUUGAUAAUGCCCAAAUUUUUAGAGGAUUCUAUUUUGAUUUAUUUUUCAAAAGCCUCCAACAAUAAUAUUUGAUUUAUAUUGAUUCAAAUUUAAAUCUCUAAAUAAUUAGAUUUGAUCUUAGUCAAUAUGUCAAACAAAUCUAAUUAACACAUUGCUAAAAACUAACAAUUUUGAUCGAACAACAACCAAAAUUUUCACUCAGAACAACAACAACCAUGACCUGCUAACAAAGGUUAGAUGUUGCACACAUGCUGGAACAUCGUGUCUCACAUAUGUCAUUUCUUCACAAAAACAUCUUGUACACUCCAUGUUAUUUUUCAUAAUACAGUCAAUCAAAAGAAACAACAACCUCACCCUUUGGCAAAUUUUGACAAAACUGACUCUUGCAAAACUUACAAGAUGUGGAUGGGUAAAUCACAACAUGAGCAUCAUAAGUGCAAACAAUAGCAACAGAAGUAGCACAUAAGUAAGGUGGUUAUGGUUGCUACCACUACUAUACAAUAUAUAUUUGGUGGCAUUAUAUUACUACGACUCUUUUGUCAACUAUAGUAACAUAUCAUUUUUAAAGUGCCUAUUUUUUUAUUAAAAUACUUUCCGUUGCAGUUCUUAAUAACAACCGUGGUGAAAAAUAGGAAGGCAUCACUUUUAACCACGGUUAGAAUUCCAACCGUGGUGAAAAUUUGCGUCUCGUCAUGAGUUCAAAUCCCAAUACCAACAUUUUUGGUUUUUUACUUAUUUUUAAGCCAUUUUUUUACCAUAAUUGGAAUUCCAAUCAUGGUGAAAAGUAGCAUCUAGUCAUGAGUUUGAAUCCCAACACCAACAUUUUUUAAACUUAUUUUUAAGUCGCUUUUCACCACGGUUGGAAUUUCAACCAUGGCGAAAACUGACGCCUUCUUAUUUUUUUAAAGAUAUAUAACGCUCUUAGUUCAUCCACUUUUGCUCUAGAUGUACUUAAAAAAAACUUCAUCAUCUGCCUCCAAACUUUUUCUAUUUACGAAAUAUUAUUCCUCCACUAAACCAAACUUGAAAAUAUUAUUUCUUCCAUAAACGAAACUCAAACACAUUUCUUCCAUUAAUGAGUUUUAGAACUCCAUCAUCUCUUCUUCAUAUUGAAUGAGGCAUGAAAAUCAUGGAUUGAACUUAGAAACGUUAGUUGUUUUUGUGUCAGGUAAAAUGUUCUUGUUUAACAAUUCUAUAUAUUUAUUUUGUUGUUGUUUUUCUUGUUGUUGUCAUCGUUGUCGUUAUUGUUGUUGUUCUUGUUGUUUUUGUUAUUGAUAUUGUUGUUGUUGUUAUUAUUGUUCUUAUUGUUGUUCAUGUUGUUCUUGUUCUUGUUUUUGUUCUUAUUAUUGUGCUUGUUGUUGUUGUUCUUGUUGUUCCGUUUGUUGUUCUUAUUGUUCUUGUUCUUGUUGUUCUUUUUGUUCUUUUUUGUGUGUUAAAAAUAUAUAAUCUUAUAUAUUAUUAUAAAAGUUAUCAACGUAGUUAGAUAAAACAUGUGGCAAAAAUAAAAAAUGUUGACUGACCUUUCACCACGGGUACAAUUGUGGUUAUAGGUAGCACGCUUUCUAGUUUCUUACCACGAGCACUACAUAGUGGUUAUAAAUAAUCCACAUCCAAUCACAUCCUACCUAACAACGGUUAUUCAACCAUUAUUAUAUGCAUUCCACAAUUGUCACUAUAAGUGUUUUUCGAGCAGUGUACACACUCAAAACAUAAUCACAAUGCUCCCACAUUCAGGCACACAAUUAAUCAUGCAUGCACACAAACAAAGUCAGUAGUUAGUCAGGUCAUUUAGAAAAUACCACUACACCAUCACUACUCCCCCUUUUUACCACAAUUUGGCAAAGAACAAAAGCAAACUAGAUCAUAAGUUACCAAAUACCACCGAGAGUAUAAAAGAGAGCUAGAACUUCUAACAUUGUUAUUGGCAACAAAUCCAUAAGGCUAACAAACCAUUAUAGAUACAGAAUAAGGAAACAAUAACAUGCCCAUAUAUAUGGGCCGAAGGAAUAAAAACAUACUAAAAUAAAUGAAAGCAAACAAGACCUCUAAAUUCACUACCCAAACCUUCCACCUGGUGAGAGAAAAGUGACCCAGUCUUCAUAAGCAUCUGAGUUAUAAUUACUUGCUUGAACAUGCUUUCUUUUCAAGGACUUCACUUUUGUCACUGGCUUUUUCCUAAUCACAGAUGCUCCAACAGAUUGUCCAACAUGCAUUUCCAUCUUAGUUUCAUUCUUCUUCAGAUCAUGCUUAUUUGACUCUAGAGCCCUAACUUUCUUUUCAGACUUGCCUUCCAGCAUUUUGGCCUCCUUAACUUUAGCUUUCCUAAAUGAUUGACUCAUUUUUGAAAAUAAUGGAAAAACUUGAGAGAAGGGAGAGUGAACAAUUUUCUGAGUACAAUAGAGAAAGAGAAUAAGAGUAUUCUUCCUUGUAACGAUGAACCAGUUAAAAUGAGAGUUUGAAAUAGGAAUAAUCAACCUUAUUUCACGUGCAACACAAAACAUAAGAGAGAGACACUUUCUUGUUAUCCUUACACGCCUCCCUGUCUUUGACUGCUAUAGACUCCCACAUAUACAAAAAACAAGAUCAUCCAUUAAAGUUUUAAACUGAGUUGCAUCUAAAGCCUUAAUAAACAUGUCAGCUAAAUGUUUUUCAAUUUCUAUAUGAUCAAGGUUUACAAUUCUAUCUUCCACGAGUCCGUUAAUGAAAUGAUGACGAAUGUCAAUGUUCUUGGUUCUGCUGUGUUGGAAAAGAUUCUUUGAAAUAUUAAUAGUACCCAAGUUAUUGCAAAAUAAUGUCAUGUCAUUGGGUUCGACAUUGUACUCCUUCAACACAAGUUUAAUCCAGAGCAAUUGAGUGCAACUGCUCCCUGCAUCAAUAUACUUAACUUCAUUAUUGGAUAAUGACACACAAUUCUGCUUCUUGUUGAACCAAGAGAUUAAAUUAUUACCAAGAAAGAAACAUCUACCAGGUGUGCUUUUUCUAUCAUCUGCACUUCCAUCAUAAUCAACAUCACAAUACCAUACUAGUUUUGAAUUGGUACCAUGAAAGUAGAUAAUUCCGUAGUCACAAGUCCCAUUUAUAUACUUCAUAAUUCUCUUCACUUGAGUAAGAUUACUAGCCAUGGGUUCAUCUUGAUAUCUAGCACAAACACCUACAAAGAAAUUAAUGUCAAGUAUGCUUGUUGUAAGGUAGACCAGACUGCCAAUCAUGCUUCUGUAUAAACUUUGAUCUACAUCAACACCCUUUCAUCUUUGGUUACUUUCACAUGUGUUGCACCAGGAGUUCUCUUGUAACUUGCAUUUUCAAGUCCAAAAUUCUUCACUAUACUCUUAACAUACUUACUUUGAGAUAUAAAAUUUUAUUCUUCCAUUUUCUUUACUUGAAGACCAAGAAAGUAAGUGAGUUCUUUUACAAUGCUUAUCUCAAAUUCAGACUUCAUUUGUUGGAAAAAAUGUUCCACCGUAUGGUCUGACAUUCCACCAAAGACAAUGUUAUCAACAUAUAUCUGGGCUAUCAUGAUUUUUCCUAUAUCAUUAUUCACAAAUAGAGUUUUAUCAAUUCCACCUCUUUUGUAUCCAUUGUUGACCAUGAACUCAUAUAAUAUUUCAUACCAAGCUCUAAGGUCUUGCUUUAAACCAUAAAGAUCUUUAUUCAUCUUGUACAUAUGAUCUGGAAAACAAGGAUCACUAAAAUCCUUUGGUUUCUCAACAUAAACUUCCUCAUUAAGAUAAUCAUUCAAGAGGGCACUUUUAACUUCCAUUUGAAAUAGUCUGAAUUUAAACGUGGAAGAUAUUCCAAAUAAUAAUCUAAUAGAUUCAAGAUGAUCUACUGGAGAAAAUGCCUCAUCAAAAUUAACUCCUUCUAUUUGAGUGUACUCCCGAGCAACUAAAAUUUCCUUGUUCCUUGUAACAUUACCAUUUUCAUCAGAUUUGUUCUUGUAAAUCCAUUUAGUAACAUUCAUAUAUCUAGGUCUUGAAACUAAUUCCCAUGCAUUAUUUUUAAUUGACACAUUUCCACUUGCAUAUCAUUUAUCCAUAAUUCAUCAACCAAUUCUUCCUUGAUAUUCUUGGGUUAAAUCUUGGAAAUGAAGCAAGUGAAGGUAGAGAAAAACAAGAAAAAGAGGUUUGAAUUGUUUUCACGGACAAUAAAAACUUUUGGUAGCACUACAUACACAAAGGUAAUAACAAACAACACAGAAGUUUAUCUUGGUUCGCUUGAAAAUCAAGUUACUCCAGUCCACCAGACCAAAGUGAUUUUGCCUUCAAUAAGGUCUUAAUCCAAUAAUAUAGAAAGAUUGCAACAAACGUCUAAGAGUACACUGAUCUCUUAGCCCUCUCAAGUCCACAGACCUUACAAGUCACUUGAGGAAAUUUACAACAACUAUUUUAGAAUUACAAGAAGGUUGAGAUAAGCAAUAUGAACACAACAAGAACAAAGAUCAAGGAUCACACUUAGAGCAACAACUCGUGUGAUAACGUAAAACAAGAAUUUAAUGUAUGAUUUGAUUUUGAUGUGUAUAAUUCUUGUGUAAUAGCUUCGUAUUUUGGUAUGAUGAUAGUUGGGCCUUUUUAUAGUGCUUGGAGAUGAUAUCGUUAAAUUGAGCAUUGAUGUUGAUAUCUUACCAACUAUGGGACUUUAAUGACAUUAAUUUUAUUGUCAUUUCCAUAGCAAUUUUGGAGAGUAUUCAGUAUUAUCCAUAUAGAGAUUCAUACCAUAUUUGGAAUACUUCUUUGUUAAGUUCUUGAUUCUGAUUUGUUGGGCGUAAUUCAGAGUAUGCAAAAUUCAUAUUCUUUUCUCAGAUCUUGUAUUCUUCAGAUAAUUGUCUAUUGCAUCUUCUUCAGAGGUUCUUGACUGAUCUCCAAAUAGACAAUCUUCUGAUGUAAGGAUCUUCAGAGUUUUCAUAUUUGGGAUCCUUCAUAUGUCUUUAGAUGCAGUUUCCAUAGUCUUCAAAAGACAGAUUCUGUGGGUGAUUCUUUUAGACAUCGUUGACUUCAGCGUCAGAACGAAUACCUUUUACUCUAAGUUAGUUGUUCUGGACUUUGUUUGACGUCAGAUAGUAAUCCAUCAGAUUACGUUUGCCUUAGAGUCCUGCACACUUAAAGAAUUUAUUAGGGGACCAAAUUGUUUCAUUCUUUGUUAUCAUCAAAACUUAGAGAUAUAUUGGAGAACCAAAUUCUUGCUCUAACAACAAGAGUUGGAAAUCAUAUCUCUAGAUCUGGUGAUGACUCCUUUAUUCAGAUUUCCUGUGACAUUUUUAGUGGGACGAUCCUUUUGAGUUCUUAUUGAUGGUCCCUUGUUGAUUUGAGGAUUUUCAGAAUUUAUGCUUUCAGACUCAAUGUCGGACCCCAUGUGUGGGACAUCAGUCACAUGGACAUCAGUCUGUUGAGGAGAUACACCAUAUUCAUAUUCUUUCUUAUCUUCAGGAGUAUCAUCAAUGACCACAUUUAUAGAGUCCAUCAUUAUCUUAGUAUGUUUGUUAUAUACCAUGUAUGUUAUAUUAUUGGUGGGAUAGCCUAGGAGUAUCCCUUCAUCACUCUUUGGAUCCAUCCUUCUUUUUUGCUCACGAUCUGCCAAGAUGUAACACUUGCUACCAAAGACAUGAAAGUAUUAACAUUGGGUUUUCUUCCUUUCUAAAACUCAUAUUUAUUUGGGUUAGUUCUAGAUCUUAUAGUCACAUGAUUAUGAAUGUGACAAGUUGUGAUCAUAGCUCAAGCCCCAAAAUAGUAAGGUAGAUUUUUGGCAUGCAACAUGACUCUAGCCGACUCUUGCAAAGUUCUAUUUUUGCAUUCUACCACUCCAUUCUGCUGAGGUGUGAUAGGUGCUGAAAAUUCAUGACUAAUCCCUUUAAAGGAGAAAACUUAGAGAACUUGGAGUUCUCAAAUUCCAUGCCAUGGUCACUCCUUAUUUUUACUGUCUCACUCCCUUUUUAUUUUUGAAUAGGAAUACAUAGUUCUUUGAACACAUCAAAAGUGUCCGAUUCUUCUCUAAUAAAGUUAACCCAAGUGUAUCUUGAAAAAUCACCCACAUGCACAAAAACAUAUCUUUAUCCACCAAGACUUUCCACUUGCAUAGGCCCCAUAAGAUCCAUAUGAAGUAAAUCAAGAACUUUGGAGGUGGUAAGAUGAUGAAGCUUCUUGUGUGACAUCUUUGUAUGCUUGCCUAUUUGGAAAUAUCCAUAGAUUAUGCCUUCUUCAAUUUUCAGCUUCAGUAAACCCCUGAUGGCUUCUUCAUAUAUGAUAUUCUUCAUGCUCCUGAGGUUGAUAUGACCAAGUUUCUAGUGCCAUAGCUUUGUCUCAUCAACCUUGGAUAUCAAACAUGAUUAAGGUUGAGAUAUCCAUAUAUAACAGUUGUCUUUGGACCUUGAACCCUUCAUUAACACUUCUUUAUCUUUGUCGGAGAUAAUACAUUCAGCCUUGUUAAAGUUCACAUUUAGACCUUAAUCACAUAGUUGACCUAUGUUGAUCAAGUUAGCAUUUAGAUCUUCUACCAACAACACAUCAUCAAGACAAUGGAAACAUGAACUAACUAAUUUGCAUAUGCCCUUGAUUCUUCCUCUAGCUCAAUUACCAAAAGUAACAUAUUAGAGUAUGACUUUAACUCUUCAGGAUAGUUCUUUUCUCCAGUCAUGUACCUUGAACAUCCAUUAUCAAAAUACCAAUCUUCUUUUGAGGACUCUAAGAGAUGUACGAACUAUAAGACUUGUGGUUAUUACUUUGGGUUUCCACACUUUCUUUGCUUGAACCAGUUUUCCUUUUCUUUUGAGCCUUGGUUGGCUAUAGGACUAAGGAUAUCCAUAUAGUCUAUAGCAAUAUGGCCUUAUGUGCCCAUAUCUCCCAUAAUGAUUACAUCUCCAAGAAAAGUUCUUGUAACCUCUGUAUUGAGAGCACACAUGUUGAGCAGGUUGCCGAGACAUAUGAUCCACCAUUAGAAACUCAGUUUUCUUCUUAGGAGGAACAAACUUCUUAGAGAGAAUUUUAACCUUUUUAUUCAUGGAACUGUAGUCAAAACCUAUAGCCUUCAUAUUCUUUUACAUUUUCACGUCUUCUAAGAUUUCAUUUAACCUAAAUGAACCAUUGUUCAACAUACAAGUAUAUUUUGUCAUAUUUUCAAGCUUAGAGUUUAAUAGAUUUACUUCUUCUUAUAGACUAGUGAUGGUUGAAACACGUCUUUUUUUUCCUGAAGGAGAGCAGUAAUAGUUUUCUUAUGUUUCUCUCAUACCAUGCAAGCUUCUUCCCAUUAGGUGUACAACAGUGUAUAUGUUGCAGCUAACUCUUCAUCUUUGAUUUCUUCAUCACUAGAAUCACUUCCAGAGUCAAAUUUUCCAAUGAAGUCCAUCAUCUUAUUAGUUGUUUUGUCCUUCAUUAUCAUCAUCAAAAUUAGACCGUGUGAUUGGCGAUCCCUUUAUUUGUUUCUUUAGAAAAGUAGGACAUUUAGCUUUAAUAUGACCAAACCCUUGAUAUUCAUAACAUUAUGCUCAUUUGCCUUUGUUUGGUUUGUCUUCAUCCGUGCUUUUGUAUUGGGGACCAAUGUCUGACACAUUGCCUUCGACAUCUGUACUCCAUUUUUGUCCAGUUCCUUCGAGGAUUUGUUAAACUUUCUACUAAGAAGAGCUAUAUCAUCUAAUAGACUUUCAUGACUUUCACUUUGAUUUUCAUCCUCAUUAGUGUUAGAUAUAAAGGUUAUACUCUUGUUAUUCUUUUCUAACCUGUCAGUUAUAACUGUCUCAAAGAUUUGUUGAGAAUCAAUGAGUUUAUCAACUUUGGUGCUACUUAGGUAUUAGGCUUCUUCAAUAGCUGUAAACUUUAUAUCAAACUUCUUAGGUAGUGAUCUAAGAAUUUUUAUGUCCAACUUUUCUUCAAAUAUCUUCUCUCUUAAGGCAAAAGAAGUGUUGAUAAUGUCACGCAAUAUGAUGUUGAAGUUAGAGAUGGAUUUAUCUUCAUUCAUACUAAGAUUCUCAAACUUUGUUGUGAGGAGUUGUAGACUUGACAUACGAACUUUUGAUGUGCCUUCAUGUGCAGUUUUGAGAAUCUCCCGCGCUUAUUUGGCUUUAGUGCUUGUGUUGAUCAACCUAAACAUGUUCUUGUCCACUCCAUUGAAAAUAACAUUCAAGGUUUUAGAGUUUCCAAGAGUUUCAUCAUCUUUAGUACUUUUCCAAUCAACUUCAGGCUUUAAGAUUGACGUUCCAUCUUCAGAAGUAAUCAUAAGGUGCUUCCAACCUUUUAUCACAACCUUUCAUGUUUUAUUGUCCACGGAUUUAAGAAAAACAACCAUUUUAGCUUUCCAAUAAUCAUAAUUGGUGUCAUCCAAGACAAACGGUCUAUUGACUAAUCCUUCAUUCUUAGUUUUGUCCAUUUAAACAGAAAAUAUCUUUCCAAGAGCUCACCCAAACAAAACAUGGUGCUUGCUCUGAUACCAAUUGGAAUUUUGUUAUUAAUGGGACAUAUGUUGGACACAAUGUCUGAGCCAAUUCUGCGCAACUUGAUGAUAAUAGUUUGAUAACAAUUAUGAAGUAAAACACAAAGCAAUAAAUAACACAAAAGAUCGUUAACCCAGUUCAGUGCAACGUCACCUACGUUUGGGGGACUUCCAACCCAAGAAAGGAAAUUCACACUUAAUAGAAUUAGUACAAAGUGUCUUAGAUAAACAACUCUUGUUCAAUGUCUCUCUUCUUAAUUCUACCAGUGUAUUUCUAUUUAGGAUUAUCCCUAAAUAUGAGACUCAUCUCACUUUCUCUCAACCGCUAAGCCUAAUGAUCAAUACAAUAAUCAGAAUAUUGAAUGCUUGACUUACAACUCAACUAUCAAACCAAUCUUUAUGCCUUGAGAUAUGAAUACAGACGCUAGAGUGUUGCACAAACAAUAAGACAAACAAAGGACUCAAAAUAGAAAUCCUAACACAAAGAUCUUCGAUACUUGAACACCUUCAAACAUUAGGUUUUAGUCUUCUUAAAUAACAAUGCAACUUCUGGUCUUUUCCAAUGUGCAUAAGAUUUGAUCACAUCCAGAUUUGUAGAGGAUUCUAUUUUGAUUUGUUUUUCAAAAUCCUCAAACAAAAAAAUUUGAUUUAUUUUGAUUCAAAUUUAAAUCUCUAAAUAAUUAGAUUUGAUCUUAGUCAAUCUGCCAAACAAAUCUAAUUAACACAUUGUUAAAAGAUAGCAAUAAACAUGAUUGAAACACAACCAAAAGUUUCACUCAGAACAACAACAACCAUGAUAGACUGACAAAUGCCAGAUGUUGCAUACAUGCGAAAACAUCGUGUUCCACAUAUGUCAUUUCUUCACAAAAAUAUCUUAUACACUCCAUGUCAUUUUGCCUAAUACAACCAAUCAAAAGGAACAACAAUGGUACUACGAAAUUUUAGAAAUUUUAGCAUUAAUGCAUGAGAUUCAAAUUUAUUGGGCGGGAGACUUAAACAACUUUGUGUGCUAUACAGACUUCAUGCAUUGCUAUUAACCUACUAAAUCAUAUAGAUGUAUCUACUAGUCACUAUAAAAAUGAGAUAACAAAAAUACAUGGCUAAUGAUUGAGCAUUCUAACUCUGUCACACUCUUAGGGAGGUGAAUAUGUCUCACAUAACCAUAUCUCAAAAUACAUAAUAUUCUAAUCUUUAAACCUCACACUCACAAUUCCUAUUAACUUGAGUAUAAGAGUGUUUGUUGAUACAUUUGAUACACAUAGUUUGGAGAUGAAAAUUUCAACGAUUCUCCAUUGUCGUCGCCGUCACCGUUCUGAACGAGUCUUAUAUUAGAACAUAGUUUAAAAUUAAAUAAUUUAUUUUUAACAAAAUGAUUUUUUUUAAAAAUCUUAAACAAACACUAUUAAAAUAAUAAAAGCGAUUUUUAAAUUUUUUUAAAAAUCAUUUAAAAAAGAAACAUAACAAACAAUGCUUAGUGUUUUUUAAGUACCAAUAAAAACAAAUGCAUUUGAAGCUGUUUGUGUGCAUUUUUAAACGAGUGCUCCAGCUAUAUUCCAUUUUCAUUUUGGCUUCACAUUAUAAAAGCGGUUAAAGCAUUAGAUGAUUCUUGUUUGAUAUCCUCACGUCCUUAUUAAUGUUGUGUUUUCAACGUCUACGUUACGCGGUUAUCUCUUCAAUAAAACCAACCAACAUAUAAUAAAUUAUCAUUAAAAAAUGACCACAGACACGUUUUUGGAACACAACAAAAUUGUACUGUAGUAUAUAUUUUGUUAUAGAAUAAACUUAGUAUUAUGUUUGACCUUUUCCAUUUUUCUCUUAAUGAACUCUCAUUUUUUUAAUUUGACUUUGUCUAUGAUAUAAAGACAUAAGCUAUUCAAUUAUUCUCCAUAUGGAAUAAAACACACACUGUUUAAUAAGUCGUAUGUUAUCAUAAAAUGGUGAUAGAGAAAGAGAACCACAUAAGAAAUUGUCAAAAAUAAAAUAAAAAAGAUGAGAGAGGACCAACCACAAUGGGAUGCGCACGUUCUAUCUGCGUGGGGCUGUGGAAAUUGGAAUCCACUAUGAACGCUGUCGUUUAGAUCAUUUUCAGACAUGAGAUAUGCUGCGAAUCAUAAUGCGCCACGUGGGAAGAUGCCAGAGAGUAACAACUAUGUUAUGGUCCCCACUCAUGCAGUGUCGUUUACACCGCGGCUUUAGCCCAAUCCAGCUUUUGCAUCUCAUAAUUCAUUUCACUGAAAAGUCUUAAUGAUCAUGAAAUAAAAUAAAUUGAAGUGAGUGCAGAUACAUAUUUCUUCACUGGCUAGCAAAUCAAAAUGGUCUUCAUUUGUUUAUAAUACUUUCUCCGGUUUUAUUUAUAAACAAACAUUUUUAUUUUUUAACCUUAAAUAUAAAUAAAUGUCCAAUAAACCUAUAUAUAUUUAAUAUAUGUUAAUUGAAUCGGAUUAUGAAUUUUUAAAAUUCUAUUUGUGAACUCAUUUAGUCGAAUCAACUAUAAUUAAUUUUAUAAUUUAUAUAAUUAUUAUUAUAGAAAUUAGUAUAAAUAAUUUUUUUUAAGAAGAAAAGAAUAAAUGUUAUUUUGACAUUUAUAAUUUAUAUAAUUAUUCGAAUCAACGGUAACAUUUGAUAUUUAUUUACUCACGUAUUUUUAGCAGAGCUAAAUAUACUAUAAUCAAAUUUAAUAUCUUUAAUUCAUGGUGGUAAUAUAACUUCCACACAUUUUAACACUUAUAUAUGUAUUUGAGGUGUGUUUAGAUGUGAAAAUAAUUUAUAUGUACAUUUAAAUGCUCUUUUAAGUCUUGUGUUGUACUCUUAUCCUAGCUAGACUUUUUAGAAAUUAAAAUUUUCAACAUGUUUAACUUUUUUAUUUUCAUCAUUGAAGGUAGCUGAUCGAGAUUUGGUGUACGCACUGAACGCAUCGUAUACUUGAAGGUUCAACAGAAUCGCCACCAAACUUUAUUUAUCCCAAAAGAGGGGAACAGAGAAACAGGUAUGGAAGUCGAUUAUGGAAGGGGAAUAUAUUAGCACCCCUCACAUCCAUGGUAUUCCAUGUGAACCAUUUUGAAUGUUCUUGUUUGGAUGUGUAUUACAAUCUUGAUGUGCCUGUAGAAAAGAAAUGGGGUUGAGAAAAUGGAGUGCUCGAGGAGGAUUGUGACCCUCAUCAAGUGACUUUUUUAGGGUCGAGUUAGGCCCAACCACACUUCUUAACAUGGUAUCAGAGUCUGGUUUAAGAUCCGGUGGGCCACCUACUAUGGUUUCCGCUAUCGGGCCACCCACCAUUUAUUUCCACGCUCUAGAUGUCCAGUCCUGGGCGUGAGGGGGUGUGUUAAGAGUCCCACAUUGGACAAUAUAUGGCCUGAACAUGACUUUAUAAGUGGGGACAACCCUCACUCUAUCAACCGGUUUUGUAGGGUUGAGUUAGGCUUAACCACAUUCUUAACACAAAGGACUUAUGGUCACUUGACAAAGACAAAUGAAAAGUAUAUCAGAUGAAAUGACCUAGUUGGUCAAAUGUGAAACUUGAUCGAGCCAAAUCAAAGAAGUAAAAUUUAUGAAUCAAACAAAGAUGCAUGAUCAUACAAAACUAUCCUAAGGUCCCAUUGUUAGGUAACCCACGAGAAAGCCAUGAGAGUACAAAGUGUACCGACCUAUGUCUCAUUGUUAGGUAGCUCAAGUGAAAGUCAUGUGUGUGUGAGAGUGUGUUAAACCUAAGCAGAUGAAUGCAAGAGGCAGAUGAAUAAAUAGAUGAAUAAGAUGAUGAACUCAAAAGUUCAACAAGAGAUUUUGGAGCUUUGCAAGUCAUUUCAUGUUGUCAUCAGAUGCAUUUGGUCAUAGAAAAUGAGUUUGCAUGUGUGAGAAGUGGUCCCAAGUUGAUUUGGGCAUGAUUCAACAUCAUAGAUCACAGUACAAAAUAGAGUUUAGGUCACCAUGUUCAAGCUUAGGCCAAAUCUAAUCCAUUCGUACGUUUUCUGCUUUUCUUUGAGCCAAAUGAUCAUUUCAUAUAGUAGAAUAAGAUGCAAAAAGAAUCACAUUCAAGGGAGUUUUGAGGUGAAAGUUACAUGCUUGUGAAGUUGAGGUCGUGACUUGGUUAUGUGGGCUAGGCGAUUGGUCAAAUACUUUGAAGCAUGUUGGGUCAUUUUGAGGCCCCAAGUUCAUGACACCAUAACUUUUGAUUCCCUCGUGUAUUUUGAGCCAAACUUGGGCCAAAUCAUCUUUGCCAUAAGCUCAACGAUAUGCAAAAAGAAUGAGAUCAAAAGAAUGCUUAAGUUGGAAAUGACAAGGGUGGAAAAUAGGGGUCAUGGCAAGGUUUUGACCUAUUUUGGCAACUUGGUCCUUUGCACAAAUGAGGUCCUUGAUGAAUGAAUUGAUGUUUGACCCUUGAAUCAAAACUGUAGAGGAUCCCAAAAGGCACAUUUGGCUCAAAGAAGCUUGGCAUUUGGAUUAAAAUUGAAGGAGUUAUGGAGUUUGGAUCAAAGGCAUGACAUACUUGCAAAUUAGGUCUAACCAACUUGUACCUCUUUGUGCAAACUUGAUGUUUUCUUGCAUUUCUAGCUACAAUGAUGAUGAAACAAGCAUCCCUUGAUGAAAACUUGAUUAAGGCUUGAAUAAUCUUGAGAAUAUCAUGGAGAUUGAGUGAUGUGACAUGGAAACACGCAUAUUGAUCAACUUUGAACCAUCAUGAACAAACUUGCAUUUCCCUCGAUCAAAACGCCUUUGUCUUGCCUUGAUUUUGAGCAUGAUUACCUUAACGAAUGACAAGAGCAAACAAGUACCAUCUCUUGUGGAAAUUAGGGUUAGUUGUUAAGAAAAACAAGAAGAAACUUUAAUGUUAAGAUACAAAUUACAUAGUGACAAUGCUUGUGAUCCCAUGACCAAAUGGUAAUGCAUGAUAUGCUUUGAUGUAUGCCAAUGAAUUAUGUAAAAUGGAGAAUAAAUUUUGAGAUAUGACAACCAUCAUUCAAUCUAUUUAAUCGAUUUUGAUCCAAGUUAAAUAUAUUUUUCUUUAUAAGAAUUUUUAAUUCUUACAAAAAUUAAUAUAUUUAGUUAAAAGCAAAUAUAUCAACUUUUAUUCCCUCAAAUAAGUCUUAUAAAAAAAGAGAUUAUUUUGAGAUUUGUGCUAAAAGUUUUUCAAUUAUAAUAAUUGGUCUUGAUAUAGUUCUAUUAAAAUAAUAUUUAUAUAAUUAUUCAUAUAUAUAGUAAAACUAAUGUACCAAAGAAAAGAACCAAAAUAAAAACAAGUCGUGCUUGUGAGUGGAAGAGCUCAUUAACACAACUCAGAACACAAACUCUGUUUCUCUCUCUUUCUCUCAGGUGGUUGAGUUCAUCACUUCAUCAUAAACACCAUACUCGCCGGAAUGUGG